rnacentral:rRNA from 1 species
UACGAAGGGGGCUAGCGUUGCUCGGAAUCACUGGGCGUAAAGCGCACGUAGGCGGCUUUCUAAGUCAGGGGUGAAAUCCUGGAGCUGAACUCCAGAACUGCCUUUGAUACUGGAGAGCUUGAGUCCGGGAGAGGUGAGUGGAACUCCGAGUGUAGAGGUGAAAUUCGUAGAUAUUCGGAAGAACACCAGUGGCGAAGGCGGCUCACUGGCCCGGUACUGACGCUGAUGUGCGAAAGCGUGGGGAGCAAACAGG